AUUCCAGUUUGUGGACAAAGUCCUAACUAUCUCACAAUAUAGGUCCCCAACUGCUGACCAAACUCCAGUUCAAGCGGCCACCUAGCCUGAGACUAGCCUGGCUUUGCCGUUUCUUUUGGCAGCUCCCAAGAUCUGAGGGUAGGUUUCCUGGGCAGCUGGGACCUGCCAGGCCAUCCUCUAUAACUACCAGCUCACUACCCAGGGACCCCUGCUCCUGUCUGAGAGGACAGCUCUGCCUGAAGCUGGAAUCUGAUGCUUGUUGAUGCCAACAACCGAAACCAGCAGUUUGUAAGACAGCUGGCCCAGGGAGGUUGAGUCAUGUACCCACGUUCACACAGUUGACAGGAAGUAAGAUGUAAGACUCCAAUCCAACCUGACUCCAGAACCUGUUUUCCUGGUCUUGAGACUACUCCAUCCUUCCAAGACUUUCCCAGACAAAGUCAAGGAUAAUAUGACAUGGAGCUAAUUCCUAGGACGUGCAUCGAAAUCUUCGCUGCACACCUGUCGUUAUGGAAGGACCCAACUGGUGCUUGAAAUAAACGGCCUGGCUUAAUAAAUGAGUUAAGAAUUGAAGGAAUUCACCCAUCCAAGCAUCCAGCAAGGAAGGCAGUGGGUGAGAGCCUUCCCAUGCAGGAUUGCAGCUAGCGAUGAAAAUGAAAACAUCCAGUGGGACUGUAACUUCAGGUGAGCAGCAUGUGCUUUGUAUGGUAAGUAUAUCUCCAACAAUGCUAAGACACACUCACACUUAAAAAAUAAGGGAUGGAGGCGUGAUAGGGCUCAGCAGGUAAAGGUAUCAGUCCCCUGGGUCCCCUUAGGAACCCGCCCGAGAAAAUCAUCUCUCAUCUCCACAGGACCAGAGGCCUAUGGCCACUUAUUCACGCGGGAACUCACAAUAAAUAAAAAUAAAAAUACAAUAAAAGGUUUAAGGAAGGGUGGGGUUCGUCACAAGUCGGUUAUGCUUAUAACUGAGAAUCCUGGGCUCUGUCCGGCAACCCCACUCUCAGCCUGGCAUAGCAGGCAGUGGGGGUGGAGGGAAUAAAUUAAAAAGGGAAGUGAAUUUUAAAAAUAGUGAGAACAAGGAAGCUGAGAGAGAUGACAGCGCCUGGUUGUCAGGUGACCCUCUCCUGUGAGAAGACAAUUUUACACCCCAGUAAGGUGUUAGGAAAAGCUUAAUGCGCAUGGUCAAGGCUGUUUAGAGGGACAGAAGGGGCCUGCUGGCUGCUGAGUUACUUGCUAGACUGUGCAGUUUUGCACCUUGGAUCUGGGCCUUUGCAAUCCUCCGCAAACUCACGUCCCACCCCCCAGGUCAGCCAAUGUCCUCAGCGAGGCUGAGAGCCAGAGGAAAGGGGCCAAAGGAGCUGCGCAGAGAAGCGAAGCGUGUCCACCUAACAGGGCUCAGCGUCCCGAAACCGUCUUCUGGCCCAUCCCGGUCCCAGGAGGGUGAGGGUGGCAGGAGCCAGCUUCGAGGGCUCCUCCUAGUGGCCAAUGUGGGAACUGGCGCUCAGAGACAGUAUAGUCACAUUCAUCCCAGGAUGCCGCACUGCCCACUGCCACCGCACCAAUCAGAAUGCAAGAUUUAAAAGACAGUCCCAAGGCCUUGUAUUCUGCAUGUCUAACUGCCACGAAAGUUCCAACCCCAGGUGCCAGUGUGGCGGCAUCUUUGAGGAAGUUCCCAGGGUUUUUGUUGGCAUCAAACGUCCGCCUUCAUUUGCAUCCAUCCUCAUUUAUAAUGGAAUUCAUAACAUUAAAUAACACUCCCCCAUCAUAAAAGUUAACAUGGACGCUAUAGAGAUGGCUUGGUGGUUAAAAGUACUUACUUGCAGAGGCCCCUCCUAGCUGGCUUUCCAGAACCCAUGGGGAACCUCACAACCUUUUGUGCCUCCAGUUCCAGGGGAUCUGAUGCCCUCUUCUGGCCUCCAUGUAUCCUACACACACACACACACGCGCGCGCACACACACACACACACACACACACACACACAAAACCCACACAAACAUACACACACACCACAAACACACACACAAACACAGGGCCCUCUAAUAAUUAAAUCAAAGUAAAUAAAAGUUAACAAGGAGAGCUGAGUGCAAUUUGGCUGUUAACUAGGUUCAUAUUGAAUGCACUGGAAGCUUUGCCCAAGAGGACGGCUUGCUCCAUCUAAGUUCUUAUCAUCAUCACCAUCAUCGUCACCACCACCACCAGUCUUAUCCACCUCCACUCCCACAUCAAUUCCUGCCUUCGUGUCCUCCUGUCUUUCCAGAGUCAUAAAAAACAAACAAACAAAAAAACAAAACAGACAAACAAAAAAAACAGUGCACAUCACCAGCAACAGUAGCUAGAAUUUUUGUUAUUUUUUUCCACUCCACUACAGCCAGCUUGGGCCCAAUCACCCUGUUUUCUGGAAGUGAGCAGGAAUCUUUGCACAACUCUUUCUUGCCCAUCCUGGCUCCUGCGCCAUCCGUGGGGAUGAUCACGCACAAACAUACCUUGCCCUGGAUCCCUCCCCUCUUUAAACAUUUACAGCGUCCUGAGCGUUUAUGAAGCUCAGAAGACUCCCGUCACAAGAAUUUUAUUACUGUGUCCCCACAUCUCCAGCCUCAUCUCAUUCCUCCCUUCCUCCUUCCUGGCUCAGGGCCUUUGCAAGUCCCGCUGUGGUUGACUAUUGUUGCCGUGACCUGGAGGGAGGGUGGGUCUGCAGCUCCAGACUUGUUGUGUGAGUUCUGUACCUUCCUCGACCUACAUUCUCUGUCUCCGUAACCUCCUCCUAGCACGUCAACUUGAAGCGGCCAGUGUGUCCAGUUACCUGUAGAUAACCUAUUUACGCUUCUGCCCCCAUCGUGGAGAUGCCUGCUGGCUGCGUUUCUUAUAGCAUACCCCAAUCCUUGAGCAGGUUUAAACAAACAGAGAGAGGCAGAAUGGUAGCAUUCUGAAGGGGCCUGUGAGGAGAACUUGAUGAGUCUCAUAGUGAGCUCACCAAGUACAGAGGCUGGCCUCUCAGCCUGAUGACCUGAAUUCAACCCCCAAGAUCCCCAUGGUGGAGGGAGAGGAGCAACUCCUGUCCUUUGACCUUCACGAGAUCACUGUAGAACACCCUUCCUCCAUACACACACACACACACACACACACACACACACACACACACACACACACGGUUUUUGUUUUGUCUUGUCUUUUUGUUUGUUUGUUUUGUUUUUUCAAAACAGGGUUUCUCUGUGUAGCCUGUCUAUCCUGGACUCACUUUUUAGACCUGGCUGGCCUCAAACUCUCAGUGAUUCACCUGCAUCUGCUUCCCUGCUGGGAUUAAAGGGGUGCACCACCAUGCCUAGCUUCAUACAUGCAUGUUUAAGGAAGAGAAUGUCAUUAAUGGUCAGUGAAAAGAAUUCUACGCCCACAGCAGAAUUUUUGCAAAGUGAAACAAAUAGUCUGAGAAUCGCAAAUAAUUUAGUCGGCAUGUUGGCAAAUACUUCAGCGUUUGGAAAGCAGAGGCAGGAGGGCUACAGAGUGAGUUUAAGUGUAGCCUUGCACUAGAUGAAACCAUGUCAAAAAAAAAAAAAAAAGAAAGAAAGAAAAAAGAAAAGAAGAGACCAAUGAGGCGUCUCAGUGAAUAAAGAUGUUUUCUUGGGACUCACUUAGCAGAAAGACAGAUCCUCCUCUCUUUAGUUAUCUCUGAGCUCCACACUGCCGCGCUUGCCCCCCCCCCCCCACACAUGCACACACAAUAAAUACAUGAAAUGAAAAGGUGAGGAACAGCAAAUGCUCGACCCUUCGUGGAUAAGGCAAAUCAAAGGGCCCUGGCCCAACCCACCUCUGGGCCAGUCUGCUCCUAGGCUACCCUCCUUACAGGCAAGUGGUAGCUUCAUACUUGUUCUGUUCUCUGAAGUUGGAUGUGACUGUGAGAAGUGAGGAGAAGCAGGCUGGGCCAGCCCUUUCUUUACGGAAACAAGGAUGGGUAUUGAGUCACCCUGGUGAGGAGGGCCCCCUGCUGAUCAAAGAGGGACAUGCACUGUAAGAGAGCUAGAACAAGCUAUUGGAACCAACCUUGGGGGCGUUUUGUCACAGAACGGCAUACCUGACCAGGUGGGACAGACUUCCCAAAGCAUCUCAAGUUUCCCUAAGACCAUCAUUGCUUUUAUCAUAUCUGAAAACCACCUCUGAUGUUUCCUACAUACAUUUUUUUUCUUGCACUUCUUUUUUACUUAAAUUUAUUGUAUAGCCUUGUAAAAACCUUUUUGACCUAGGGUCUCAGGCUCAAACUUGCUGUGUAGCUGAGAAUGACCAUGAACUUCUGAUUCUCCUGUUUUCACCUCCCUAGUGCUGGAACUACAGGAAUGUGUCAUUAGGCCAGUUUUUGUGGGGUGCUGGAGAUGGAGUGCUGGAGCAUGCUAGCUGAACACCCCACUGACAUUUCCAGCUCUUAGAUUCAUUUUUUUAAGUUAUUCCAAUCAAGAGAAAUAUACUUUUCUAAGCAGAAAGCAAUGGAAAACAAUCAGAAAAAAAAAAAAGAGUGUCUCAGGUGGUGGUGGCGCAUGCCUUUAAUCCCAGCACUCAGGAGGUGGAUCUCUGAGUUCUGAGUUCAAGGCCAGCCUGUGGAGCCAGUACCCUGCCAAGGCUGAAUAAGCAAAUUCUGGGCCUCGGCUUCCUGGGUUUGCAUGCAUAUGCUCCACUACUGCACGGCACCCCCAGCCCUAUGUCUGCUUUCUUCCUUGCAAAUAGGACUGGUAAUGUGUAGGCGAUUGGGCUGUGGUGGGGAUUGUUGGCGUUCAAGUAGAUAAAGGGCUAAAGUCGUAUCUGGCACACUGUGAGUGCUACAAAGAUGCUAGCUGCAAAACAAAGACUGUAUAACGAUCCAAACACCAUCUAGCCACAGUGGCACACACUUGUGAUUCUAGCACCAGGGUAGCUGUGGCAAGAGGGUCAGGAGUUCAAAGCCAGCCUGAGCCAUAAGGGGAGGCUGGCAUGGGCUACAUGAGACUGACUUAAAACAAGGAAACAAAACACAGCAACGACCCGAAUGUCUUUGAAUAAGGGUAUAAACCCCAGGCCAGGCAUGGUGGUGCAUGCCUUUAAUCCCAGCUCUCAGGAGGCAGAGGCAGGUGGAUCUCUGUGAGGUCGAGGCCAGCCUGCUCAAUAAAUAAAUAAAUAAAAGAGCAUGAACCCCAUAGUGUGUGGGGAGGGAUCUCUCCACAGGUUAAAAAUAAAUAAAUCCCAAGGAUGCCGUGGAUUCGGAGGCUACAUGCCCUCUGUCAGUGGCAGGUGAUGUAACAGAGCCUUUGAUUUUGUUGGUGACAGCUGCUCCAACUCUGUCAUGCGUCAUUCUUGAGGACAUAGCGUUCAGGUUGGAAGAGCCAAUGUCCUCUGCACAGUGUCCUCAAAUGACCACAUAGGGACACUGGCACUGGGCUUUAAUUUUAGGAAGAACAUUUAGGACAGGCCAGGCCACAAAAGCUGCCCCCUCUGGAGAAUGGCUGAAGCCGAGGCGGGGACUGGGCUAGUUGCUAUCAGCAGCAGAGAGGCAGUUCAGCUAAGUGCUUGGGGCUGUGGCCUUUGAACUGUCUGAUCCCGGGCAGGUCACAAGCUCUUUAGAUCUUAUUUGCUUCACCUACAAGAUAGGACUCAACAGUAGGGCCUCUUUAUGGAGUGUUUGGUGGAGCAAAUGUGAUAAGCCUUAUACACCUGGCAUGCAGGUGGCCAGAAUGCAGCUAUGUUUUGGGUUCAAAACGGGGCUGAGGCUGUAGCUCAUUAGGUAGCUCACGAAGCAUGUGCAAAAUCCUGCAACUCAUUCCAGUGCUGCAAAACAAAGUAUUUCCUGGGAAAUAAGAAUUCACUGUUAGUUGGGUGGUCAUGGUGCACUCCUUUAAUCCCAGCACUCGGGAGGCAGGGGCAGGUGGCUGUCCGGGUUCUAGGCCAGCCUGGUCUACAGGGUGAGUUCCAGGGUGUGUAGCCAGGGCUACACAAAAUAGACAAAUAAAAAGAAACUUGCUGGUUCCUACGAUCCCAGAAAGCAAGCCAGAAUCAAUAGAUGGGAGAAAAACUUGGACCCAGAAUAAAUAAAAGAUUUUAUUAGGUGAUGUGAUUGUCCUGCCAGGGAAGUACUGACGAAUCCAGAUGUCAGCAAUUUUCACUGGCAUUCUCAGGCACGAGCCCGGGAACCAUGAUGUUAAGGAAGAUGGGCUGUGGAUUCCAGAAACUGGGAAAAGCAGACUUGCCCAGGGGGGCAAAUGUCUUAGAUGAAACACAAUCAAACUCAAGCACAGCGGGGAAACUGAGUCCCCACCUGUAAAAGAAUGAGAUUGACAACCUGGACGUGGUAGUUCUAGCACUUGGAGGUAGAAGCUGAAGGAUCGGAGGUUUAAGAUCAUUCAGGAACACAGAAAGGUCUCCAGCUGAGUCAGGAGAGCUUCGUAGGACAUGUGGACUCUGCAGCUUCAGACCAUGAGGCACUAAAAAUGACCAGUCCCAGUACAGCUUACCUCAGUGUAUUCAGUCCCUCCAGAAGGCCCAUGAAAGAGCCCAGGGCAGGGCAGCAUGAGAAUGCUCUUCCCUCUCAGAGUUCCUCUCACUGUUCUUAAUAAAUGUAGGUUCAUUCUAUUCUCUCCUGGCCUGUAUGUCUUAUCCUUCUGAGACAAUGAGCCCAGAUGUCACUGGCUCAAGGCAGUUUUGACAACCAUGAUCAGCCAGCAUCCUAGGUCCCUGGGCUAAGAUAACUAAGAGCCAAGAUUCCAUUGCUUUCAAAGAACCCACAUCAAAAGGAUACUAUCAUCAGAGUGGAAAUCAGUCAAUGGGCUGGGAGGAAAGUACUUGUAAAUACAUACAGCCCAGCGCCAGGAGACAAACAGCUUCACAUGAGCACCUGAAUAGACACUUCUUCAAAGAAAUGAUCGAAUGACUGCUGUGACCAUGGGAAGACUAGCAUUACCCACCAGGCAUUAGUGAAAAACAAAACCCACCAACAGUAAGAAAGCCAGGUGUAGAGGUGCAUGCCUACAACCCCAGAACUCAGAUGCAGGAGGAUCUAAAGUUCAAUACCAGCCUGCUACAGAGCAAUAUCCUGCCUCAAAACCCAACCUAAGCAUAGAUGGUGCACGCCUUUAAUCCCAGCAAUCAGGAGGCAGAGGUAGGCUGAUCUCUGUUUGAGGGCAGCCUGCUCUACAUAGUGAGUUCCAGGCCAGCCAGAGCUACACAGCAAAACCCUGCCUCAACAAACAAACAAACAAACAAACAAAAACCCAAGAGCACAGCUUCCAUUGCCCAAUAUUAAAACAGCUAAACAGAAGCCACGUAUGGUACUUUCUGUCUGCAGUCCCAUCACCUGGGAAGACUGGGCAAGAUGAUUGUUUUGAGUUCAAGGCCAGUCUUGGCUACAUAGUGAGUUCCAGGCCAGCUUGUGCUAGAGAAAGUUUGUGAGGGUGUAGAGACAUGGAAAUGCUUGUUCACUAACUGCUGAGAAUGUAACACAGUGUAGCCUCUGUGGGAAGUGGUAUGAUGUUUCUCAGGCAUGUCCAUAAUAUAAUUUGGUCAUAUUCACUCUCUCUCCAUUACCCUUCCUGCUCCACUCUUCUUCCCAUUAAUAAAUAAACCCUCCUUUCUACUUUCA